UACGGGGGGAGCAAGCGUUGUUCGGAUUUACUGGGCGUAAAGGGCGCGUAGGCGGGGAGGUAAGUCGGGUGUGAAAUCCCUCGGCCCAACUGAGGAACUGCGCCCGAGACUGCUUCUCUUGAGUCCCGGAGAGGAAGAUGGAAUUCCCGGUGUAGCGGUGAAAUGUGUAGAGAUCGGGAGGAACACCGGUGGCGAAGGCGGUCUUCUGGACGGUGACUGACGCUGAGGCGCGAAAGCGUGGGGAGCAAACGGG
rnacentral:rRNA from 1 species